rnacentral:rRNA from 1 species
GACGAACGCUGGCGGCGCGCCUAACACAUGCAAGUCGAACGAGCGAGAGAGAGCUUGCUUUCUCGAGCGAGUGGCGAACGGGUGAGUAACGCGUGAGGAACCUGCCUCAAAGAGGGGGACAACAGUUGGAAACGACUGCUAAUACCGCAUAAGCCCACGGUGCCGCAUGGCACAGAGGGAAAAGGAGCAAUCCGCUUUGAGAUGGCCUCGCGUCCGAUUAGCUAGUUGGUGAGGUAAUGGCCCACCAAGGCGACGAUCGGUAGCCGGACUGAGAGGUUGAACGGCCACAUUGGGACUGAGACACAGCCCAGACUCCUACGGGAGGCAGCAGUGGGGAAUAUUGCACAAUGGGGGAAACCCUGAUGCAGCGACGCCGCGUGGAGGAAGAAGGUCUUCGGAUUGUAAACUCCUGUUGUUGGGGAAGAUAAUGACGGUACCCAACAAGGAAGUGACGGCUAACUACGUG